rnacentral:rRNA from 1 species
UGGGGAAUAUUGGACAAUGGGCGAAAGCCUGAUCCAGCCAUGCCGCAUGAGUGAAGAAGGCCUUUGGGUUGUAAAGCUCUUUUAGUGAGGAAGAUAAUGACGGUACUCACAGAAGAAGUCCUGGCUAACUCCGUGCCAGCAGCCGCGGUAAUACGGAGAGGGCUAGCGUUAUUCGGAAUUAUUGGGCGUAAAGGGCGCGUAGGCUGGUUAAUAAGUUAAAAGUGAAAUCCCGAGGCUUAACCUUGGAAUUGCUUUUAAAACUAUUAAUCUAGAGAUUGAAAGAGGAUAGAGGAAUUCCUGAUGUAGAGGUAAAAUUCGUAAAUAUUAGGAGGAACACCAGUGGCGAAGGCGUCUAUCUGGUUCAAAUCUGACGCUGAAGCGCGAAGGCGUGGGGAGCAAACAGGAUUAGAUACCCUGGUAGUCCACGCUGUAAACGAUGAAUGUUAAAUAUGGGAAGUUUACUUUCUGUAUUACAGCUAACGCGUUAAACAUUCCGCCUGGGGACUACGGUCGCAAGAUUA